UUAAAUUGAAGAGUUUGAUCAUGGCUCAGAUUGAACGCUGGCGGCAGGCUUAACACAUGCAAGUCGAACGGUAACAUGAGUGCUUGCACUUGAUGACGAGUGGCGGACGGGUGAGUAAGGUAUGGGGAUCUGCCGAAUGGAGGGGGACAACUCUUCCGAUCUACUGCUAAUACCGCAUAAAGUUGAGAGACCAAAGCAUGGGACCUACGGGCCAUGCGCCAUUUGAUGAACCCAUAUGGGAUUAGCUAGUUGGUGGGGUAAUGGCUCACCAAGGCGACGAUCUCUAGCUGGUCUGAGAGGAUGACCAGCCACACUGGAACUGAGACACGGUCCAGACUCCUACGGGAGGCAGCAGUGGGGAAUAUUGCACAAUGGGGGAAACCCUGAUGCAGCCAUGCCGCGUGUAUGAAGAAGGCCUUCGGGUUGUAAAGUACUUUCGGUGAUGAGGAAGG
rnacentral:rRNA from 1 species